rnacentral:lncRNA from 1 species
UAAAACUAAAUGUGUACUAUAAUCCUCCAACUUUUAAAAUGGUCGGGUUUUUUUUUUCACUUCGGACUACUGUCCCGUGUCCUUACGUCCCCACCCCACGCUAGCAGUGGGUUUCACAUGUUAGUCACUCAAUCUCCAACGUCUUCUCUUUUCUCGUUGUCCUCUCUCUCUCUCUUCUCUCUCACCUACCCUUCUCCUCGUUGCUAAAUAGGACUAAAAUCUAAUCUGU